UUUCCAGGUUACCUAACCAAACUCCUGCAAAACCACACCACCUAUGCCUGUGAUGGGGACUAUCUGAAUCCAUAGUGCCCUUGGCAUUCUACAAUAAGUAUCCAAUCGGCAUUUUAUGGGCAAGAUUACCCAAUGUGUAGUUCCCAGAAGCCUGCCUGCCAGAGGGAAGACAGCUUAACCUGUGUGGCACCCACCACCUUCCAGAUAUUGCAGAUGAAUUAAAAAACAAAACCGUGUGUGAAGACAAGGAGCUGAAACUGCACUGCCAUGAAUCCAAGUUCCUCAACAUCUACUCUGUGACAUAUGGCAGGAGGACCCAGGAAAGGGACAUCUGCUCCUCCAAGCCAGAGCGGCUCCCCCCUAGUUCCCAAGAACAUACUCACAGUGAUUGAUCCAGCCAUUGCUAAUCUAAAACCUUCUUUGAAGCAGAAAGAUGGUGAAUAUGGUAUGAAACAGGUAUAAACUUUGACCCAAGCGAAUCGAAGGUUCUGAGGAAAGAUGGAAUUCUUGUUAGCAACUCUCUGGCAGCCUUUGCUUACAU
rnacentral:lncRNA from 1 species